rnacentral:rRNA from 1 species
GACGAACGCUGGCGGCGUGCCUAACACAUGCAAGUCGAGCGAAUGAAGUUCCUUCGGGAAUGGAUUUAGCGGCGGACGGGUGAGUAACACGUGGGCAACCUGCCUCAUAGAGGGGAAUAGCCUUCCGAAAGGGAGAUUAAUACCGCAUAAGAUUGUAGUAUCACAUGAUACAGCAAUUAAAGGAGCAAUCCGCUAUGAGAUGGGCCCGCGGCGCAUUAGCUAGUUGGUGAGGUAACGGCUCACCAAGGCGACGAUGCGUAGCCGACCUGAGAGGGUGAUCGGCCACAUUGGGACUGAGACACGGCCCAGACUCCUACGGGAGGCAGCAGUGGGGAAUAUUGCACAAUGGGGGAAACCCUGAUGCAGCAACGCCGCGUGAGUGAUGACGGCCUUCGGGUUGUAAAGCUCUGUCUUCAGGGACGAUAAUGACGGUACCUGAGGAGGAAGCCACGGCUAACUACGUG